rnacentral:rRNA from 1 species
CAGCAGGCGCGAAAACUUUACACUGCGCGAAAGCGCGAUAAGGGGACCUCGAGUGCGUGCGCAAUGCGUACGCUUUUCAGAUGCCUAAAAAGCAUCUGGAAUAAGGGCCGGGCAAGACCGGUGCCAGCCGCCGCGGUAACACCGGCGGCUCAAGUGGUGGCCGCUAUUAUUGGGCUUAAAGGGUCCGUAGCCGGACCAGUUAGUCCCUUGGGAAAUCUUACGGCUUAACCGUAAGGCUGCCAAUGGAUACUGCUGGUCUUGGGACCGGGAGAGGCAAGAGGUACCUCAGGGGUAGGAGUGAAAUCCUGUAAUCCUUGAGGGACCGCCAGUGGCGAAGGCGUCUUGCUAGAACGGGUCCGACGGUGAGGGACGAAAGCUAGGGGCACGAACCGGAUUAGAUACCCGGGUAGUCCUAGCCGUAAACGAUGCGAGCUAGGUGUCACGUGGAUUGCGAAUCCAUGUGGUGCCGAAGGGAAACCGUGAAGCUCGCCGCCUGGGAAGUACGGCCGCAAGGCUGAAACUUAAAGGAAUUGGCGGGGGAGCAC